AUACCGGUUUUACCGGCCCUACCGGCUAUUAACCCCUUUAGAAUGUUUAGCCGUCCAACUUUAGCACUCCUUCACAAGGGGGAGUCGUAGGUUCGAUUCCUGCUGUGCCCACCA
rnacentral:tRNA from 1 species